GGUUGAUAAGGUAUAUUCCUCUUGUCGGUGAUGCUUAAAAGUCUAGUAGUGUACUUCUUAUACCUACUAUAUUAUAAUUCAUCAUCAUAAUAUUUCCCCAUAGCAAAGUGCUUUCAAUUUGCACUAUACAGUUUGUUUCACGAUUCUUCCUGGCCAUUCUGUCUUUCACUUUAGAUUUUUAUUAUCUCCCUCUUUCUCUAUAUGAAGGAGAAGAUGAAAAAGAUAAUGUUAAUCCUACAAUAAUAUAAUGCAGUGUUCCAGUUUAGACAUUUUUAGGUGGAAGGUAGACUUCAGCUUAAUGUUUAUUAUGAUUUUUGUGACAGUGUAUAGUGCAGCCCAAUUCUGUGAGAGAGGGAAAGGUAGAGAAAAAAG
rnacentral:misc_RNA from 1 species